AUGUUAUGGGAGGACAAUCACAAAAAUAUCUCUGCAGAAAGAACGGGAGAUUGCUAAAAUUAAGCAACAACAUGCAGAGACUAUAAGUUCAAUGAAAACUGAACUUCAUGAGACAAAAGAUAGAGUCCAAAGUUUGGAGGAUCUUGUGAAGCUUCUCUUGCAACAGAGUUCUUUUGGCACAAAUAUUGAUGAAGCACUAUCUUUAUUACGAGCCAAGGAAUCAACACAUGAUAUAAAUAGUAAGCAAUGUUCGAAUGGCAACGAUCGUCCUUCCUCAUCAACUCGUGAUCCAAAGUGAUGACCAGCGUUGUGCUACUGUGAGGAAGAAAAUUUUUUCCUCAUUGCUGAAAUAAUGUGGCUAUGUUGGGGAGUGAUGCGUGUUGUCACUGCAACAGACUCUAG